rnacentral:rRNA from 1 species
GGCCUGGCUGGGCGGUCCGCUUCACGGCGUGUACUGUCUGGCUGGGUCUUACUUCUUGGUGAACCGGCGUGCCCUUUACUGGUGUGCGUCGGGGAACCAGGACUUUUACCUUGAGAAAAUUAGAGUGUUCAAAGCAGGCCUAUGUCCGAAUACAUUAGCAUGGAAUAAUAAAAUAGGACG